AUCUUUAACAAGCACAAGGCCCUGCAUUUGAUCCUAUGGACAUGAAAACCCUGGUCCUACUCUGUAUAAGAAGGCCUUUUUCAGUUUUAAAGCUGCUUGGUUGUUUCUGAGGACAGUUACUGAGCACCUGCACACACUGAGACUCAGGCAGGCAGAGCUGAUCCCACUAACCUCCCCAGUCAAGUGAGCGUGGGUUUAAGGUCAGCGUGAAUCAGACCAAGACUCUUUAGCUUCAUCAGGGCUGUGGCCACCUGCUGCAAGAUUGGUCUUAUGUACUUGAGUGGCAGUGGGCUAAACUUGUUCUGCUUUAGAAAAUCGUACAAGUUCUGCUCCAACAUCUCAAACACAAGGCAGGAGGGGUGGUUCUUCAAGAUCUUAAUGGCCACAAUUUCCUUGGUGCUCCGCUUCCAGCACUUUGCCACCUGUCCAAAUGUCCCCCGGCCUAGGAACUCCAGGACUUCAUAGCUGUUGGUCAUAGAGCAAAGGAUCUCAUGCUGGACCAGCUGGUAAUCCCCUUCUCCGCUGGAACUGCUACUCUUGGUGGUCACAGUGGUGGUCGUGGCAGCAGCACCCACCACGGUUCUGUUCUGCAGCAUGAGAGGGGGAUGUUCUUCUAUGAUCUGCACGCUACCGUUGCUGUCCACUUCCUCACUCUUUCUCUUCAAUCCACAUUUUUGAUAUGGCUCAAGCAAAGAAACGUUGCUCCUGUGAGUCAGGGUCUGGCUGCUUU
rnacentral:lncRNA from 1 species